UUAAGCGACUAAGCGUACACGGUGGAUGCCCUGGCAGUCAGAGGCGAUGAAGGACGUGCUAAUCUGCGAUAAGCGUCGGUGAGGUGAUAUGAACCGUUAUAACCGGCGAUUUCCGAAUGGGGAAACCCAGUGUGUUUCGACACACUAUCAUUAACUGAAUCCAUAGGUUAAUGAGGCGAACCGGGGGAACUGAAACAUCUAAGUACCCCGAGGAAAAGAAAUCAACCGAGAUUCCCCCAGUAGCGGCGAGCGAACGGGGAGGAGCCCAGAGCCUGAAUCAGUGUGUGUGUUAGUGGAAGCGUCUGGAAAGGCGUGCGAUACAGGGUGACAGCCCCGUACACAAAAAUGCACAUAUUGUGAGCUCGAUGAGUAGGGCGGGACACGUGGUAUCCUGUCUGAAUAUGGGGGGACCAUCCUCCAAGGCUAAAUACUCCUGACUGACCGAUAGUGAACCAGUACCGUGAGGGAAAGGCGAAAAGAACCCCGGCGAGGGGAGUGAAAAAGAACCUGAAACCGUGUACGUACAAGCAGUGGGAGCCUCUUAAUGGGGUGACUGCGUACCUUUUGUAUAAUGGGUCAGCGACUUAUAUUCUGUAGCAAGGUUAACCGAAUAGGGGAGCCGAAGGGAAACCGAGUCUUAACUGGGCGUUAAGUUGCAGGGUAUAGACCCGAAACCCGGUGAUCUAGCCAUGGGCAGGUUGAAGGUUGGGUAACACUAACUGGAGGACCGAACCGACUAAUGUUGAAAAAUUAGCGGAUGACUUGUGGCUGGGGGUGAAAGGCCAAUCAAACCGGGAGAUAGCUGGUUCUCCCCGAAAGCUAUUUAGGUAGCGCCUCGUGAAUUCAUCUCCGGGGGUAGAGCACUGUUUCGGCAAGGGGGUCAUCCCGACUUACCAACCCGAUGCAAACUGCGAAUACCGGAGAAUGUUAUCACGGGAGACACACGGCGGGUGCUAACGUCCGUCGUGAAGAGGGAAACAACCCAGACCGCCAGCUAAGGUCCCAAAGUCAUGGUUAAUUGGGAAACGAUGUGGGAAGGCCCAGACAGCCAGGAUGUUGGCUUAGAAGCAGCCAUCAUUUAAAGAAAGCGUAAUAGCUCACUGGUCGAGUCGGCCUGCGCGGAAGAUGUAACGGGGCUAAACCAUGCACCGAAGCUGCGGCAGCGACACUAUGUGUUGUUGGGUAGGGGAGCGUUCUGUAAGCCUGUGAAGGUGGCCUGUGAGGGUUGCUGGAGGUAUCAGAAGUGCGAAUGCUGACAUAAGUAACGAUAAAGCGGGUGAAAAGCCCGCUCGCCGGAAGACCAAGGGUUCCUGUCCAACGUUAAUCGGGGCAGGGUGAGUCGACCCCUAAGGCGAGGCCGAAAGGCGUAGUCGAUGGGAAACAGGUUAAUAUUCCUGUACUUGGUGUUACUGCGAAGGGGGGACGGAGAAGGCUAUGUUGGCCGGGCGACGGUUGUCCCGGUUUAAGCGUGUAGGCUGGUUUUCCAGGCAAAUCCGGAAAACCAAGGCUGAGGCGUGAUGACGAGGCACUACGGUGCUGAAGCGACAAAUGCCCUGCUUCCAGGAAAAGCCUCUAAGCAUCAGGUAACAUCAAAUCGUACCCAAAACCGACACAGGUGGUCAGGUAGAGAAUACCAAGGCGCUUGAGAGAACUCGGGUGAAGGAACUAGGCAAAAUGGUGCCGUAACUUCGGGAGAAGGCACGCUGAUAUGUAGGUGAAGCGACUUGCUCGUGGAGCUGAAAUCAGUCGAAGAUACCAGCUGGCUGCAACUGUUUAUUAAAAACACAGCACUGUGCAAACACGAAAGUGGACGUAUACGGUGUGACGCCUGCCCGGUGCCGGAAGGUUAAUUGAUGGGGUUAGCGGUAACGCGAAGCUCUUGAUCGAAGCCCCGGUAAACGGCGGCCGUAACUAUAACGGUCCUAAGGUAGCGAAAUUCCUUGUCGGGUAAGUUCCGACCUGCACGAAUGGCGUAAUGAUGGCCAGGCUGUCUCCACCCGAGACUCAGUGAAAUUGAACUCGCUGUGAAGAUGCAGUGUACCCGCGGCAAGACGGAAAGACCCCGUGAACCUUUACUAUAGCUUGACACUGAACAUUGAGCCUUGAUGUGUAGGAUAGGUGGGAGGCUUUGAAGUGUGGACGCCAGUCUGCAUGGAGCCGACCUUGAAAUACCACCCUUUAAUGUUUGAUGUUCUAACGUUGGCCCGUAAUCCGGGUUGCGGACAGUGUCUGGUGGGUAGUUUGACUGGGGCGGUCUCCUCCUAAAGAGUAACGGAGGAGCACGAAGGUUGGCUAAUCCUGGUCGGACAUCAGGAGGUUAGUGCAAUGGCAUAAGCCAGCUUGACUGCGAGCGUGACGGCGCGAGCAGGUGCGAAAGCAGGUCAUAGUGAUCCGGUGGUUCUGAAUGGAAGGGCCAUCGCUCAACGGAUAAAAGGUACUCCGGGGAUAACAGGCUGAUACCGCCCAAGAGUUCAUAUCGACGGCGGUGUUUGGCACCUCGAUGUCGGCUCAUCACAUCCUGGGGCUGAAGUAGGUCCCAAGGGUAUGGCUGUUCGCCAUUUAAAGUGGUACGCGAGCUGGGUUUAGAACGUCGUGAGACAGUUCGGUCCCUAUCUGCCGUGGGCGCUGGAGAACUGAGGGGGGCUGCUCCUAGUACGAGAGGACCGGAGUGGACGCAUCACUGGUGUUCGGGUUGUCAUGCCAAUGGCACUGCCCGGUAGCUAAAUGCGGAAGAGAUAAGUGCUGAAAGCAUCUAAGCACGAAACUUGCCCCGAGAUGAGUUCUCCCUGACUCCUUGAGGGUCCUGAAGGAACGUUGAAGACGACGACGUUGAUAGGCCGGGUGUGUAAGCGCAGCGAUGCGUUGAGCUAACCGGUACUAAUGAACCGUGAGGCUUAACCUU
rnacentral:rRNA from 1 species